GAUGAACGCUGGCGGCGUGCCUAAUACAUGCAAGUCGAGCGAACAGACGAGGAGCUUGCUCCUCUGACGUUAGCGGCGGACGGGUGGGUAACACGUGGAUAACCUACCUAUAAGACUGGGAUAACUUCGGGAAACCGGAGCUAAUACCGGAUAAUAUAUUGAACCGCAUGGUUCAAUAGUUAAAGACGGUUUUGCUGUCACUUAUAGAUGGAUCCGCGCCGCAUUAGCUAGUUGGUAAGGUAACGGCUUACCAAGGCAACGAUGCGUAGCCGACCUGAGAGGGGGAUGGGCCAACAUGGAACUGAGAAACGGUCAAAACUCCUACGGGAGGAAGCAGUAGGGAAUCUUCCGCAAUGGGGGAAAGCCGGACGGAGCAACGCCGGGUGAAGAAGGAAGGUCUUCGGAUCGUAAAACUCUGUUAUGGGGAAAAAAAAAAUGUGUAAGUAACGAUGCACGUCUUGACGGUACCUAAUCAGAAAGCCACGGCUAACUACGU
rnacentral:rRNA from 1 species